UGGGGAAUUUUGGACAAUGGGCGAAAGCCUGAUCCAGCAAUGCCGCGUGUGUGAAGAAGGCCUUCGGGUUGUAAAGCACUUUUGUCCGGAAAGAAAUCCUUGGCUCUAAUACAGUCGGGGGAUGACGGUACCGGAAGAAUAAGCACCGGCUAACUACGUGCCAGCAGCCGCGGUAAUACGUAGGGUGCAAGCGUUAAUCGGAAUUACUGGGCGUAAAGCGUGCGCAGGCGGUUUGCUAAGACCGAUGUGAAAUCCCCGGGCUCAACCUGGGAACUGCAUUGGGUGACUGGCAGGCUAGAGUAUGGCAGAGGGGGGUAGAAUUCCACGUGUAGCAGUGAAAUGCGUAGAGAUGUGGAGGAAUACCGAUGGCGAAGGCAGCCCCCUGGGGCCAAUACUGACGCUCAUGCACGAAAGCGUGGGGAGCAAACAGGAUUAGAUACCCUGGUAGUCCACGCCCUAAACGAUGUCAACUAGUUGUUGGGGAUUCAUUUCCUUAGUAACGUAGCUAACGCGUGAAGUUGACCGCCUGGGGAGUAC
rnacentral:rRNA from 1 species